CGGGUGAGUAAUACAUCGGAACGUGUCUUCUAGUGGGGGAUAACUGCCCGAAAGGGCAGCUAAUACCGCAUGAGACCUGAGGGUGGAAAGCGGGGGAUCGCAAGACCUCGCGCUGGAAGAGCGGCCGAUGUCCGAUUAGCUAGUUGGUGAGGUAAAGGCUCACCAAGGCGACGAUCGGUAGCUGGUCUGAGAGGACGACCAGCCACACUGGGACUGAGACACGGCCCAG
rnacentral:rRNA from 1 species